rnacentral:rRNA from 1 species
AUGAAGCCGGAAUUGCUAGUAAUGGCAGGUCAGCACACUGCCGUGAAUACGUUCCCGGGCCCUUGUACACACCGCCCGUCACACCAUGAGAGUUGGGAAUACCCGAAGCCUGUGAGCUAACGAAAGAGGCAGCAGUCGAAGGUAGAAUCAAUGAUUGGGGUGAAGUCGUAACAAGGUAUC